GAUGAACGCUGGCGGCGUGCCUAAUACAUGCAAGUCGAGCGAACAGAUGAGGAGCUUGCUCCUCUGACGUUAGCGGCGGACGGGUGAGUAACACGUGGAUAACCUACCUAUAAGACUGGGAUAACUUCGGGACACCGGAGCUAAUACCGGAUAAUAUAUUGAACCGCAUGGUUCAAUAGUGAAAGACGGUUUUGCUGUCACUUCUAGAUGGAUCCGCGCCGCAUUAGCUAGUUGGUAAGGUAACGGCUUACCAAGGCAACGAUGCGUAGCCGACCUGAGAGGGUGAUCGGCCACACUGGAACUGAGACACGGUCCAGACUCCUACGGGAGGCAGCAGUAGGGAAUCUUCCGCAAUGGGCAAAAGCCUGACGGAGCAACGGCGCGUGAGUGAUGAAGGUCUUCGGAUCGUAAAACUCUGUUAUUAGGGAAGAACAAAUGUGUAAGUAACUAUGCACGUCUUGACGGUACCUAAUCAGAAAGCCACGGCUAACUACGUG
rnacentral:rRNA from 1 species